ensembl:lncRNA
GUGGAAUUCCAGGGUCACAGCCUGAACCAAUGGGUGGGCUAUGUGAGUGUGUGAGUGCCUGGAACGGAGGGUGGUGGUCUGGAGCCACCCCUUCUGUCUCUGCAAUACUUCCUGUGCAGUCUGAGUCUGCGCGGGUCCCUCUCUUUGCCCCCGCCCUUCUCUCCGGUGGCGCGACGGUACAAAUGGGGGAGGGACACAUUCCUCAGCUUGUCUCUCUCUGCGCACUGUUACCGGGAGGGGCAUUGAAAAUGUAUCUGUUCUCUGUAGCUGCUUGGGGAAGUGUAACCAGCAUAAGCAUACUGGACAAAUUUGGGUUGUUAAUUCCAAAGAUUAGGAUGGAACACCUCCCCUGCAAGGACAGGCUGAGAGAUCUGGGGCUUUUCAGCCUUCAGAAGGGAAGGCUUCAGGGAGACCUAAUAGCAUCCUUUCAGCAUCUAAGGAGGUACAAUAAGAAAGAAGAGGGCAGACUUCAGCAGGGUCGGUCUUGAUAGGAGAAGAGGAAAUUGUUUCAAACUAAUGAGUUGAAGACAAAGGUCUGCAUAUCUGGAGACUCAAGCAUGCACCGGGAACCUCACCUUACUUCAGUGCUAUUUGCAGGAAUGAUAUAGCUCGUGCAAGGGCAAGCUGGUUUGGAUAUUCAUCUGUCUCAAGUAUGACUGCAAGAAACAAUCAUUUCUGACAGUGGGAGAAUAACCUUAACUCCUUGUGCUGCUUGACAUUUCUUUUGAUAUUAGUGAGAUAUUACACGCAAAAGCUGAGACAGAAGCACUAGAAGAGUCUGUCAGAGAAGUACAUACACUUGAUAUGGAAUAAGAACUAGAGUGAUCUUCUCACCUAUGCAGAUUUCCUAAACACAACACCAGCAAUCAUAGGAAGUCAUCCCAGUAUUGCAGGCAACUUUGCUUGUCCUUUGUAAAGGUCCAAGCAUUAAAUUAAAUUUACACUGCAGUUAAUUGUAUGUUCAGAACUCUGUUGUAUAAUCAAAAAUCUACAGGGAUCAAAGAUCUAUCUUUUAAAUACACUCAGGUGUUUAAAAGCUCUGUUUUCAAUCCAUUUUUAAAGGAAGUGAAGACUUGGAAUAUGUAAAGGAAGAAGCAAGUAUGUUUUUAGGUGUUCAGUAAAACUGAAAGAUGAUUUGAGGUAUCGACUACACAAGUGUCUUUACUGAACUUAUCACAAUACUAAUUAUUUCUGUCAUUAGAACAACCAUAUACACUACUACUACUACUACUGCAGAAACCACGGCCACCUUCUAUAAGAACUGUUUCCUUAGACAUGAAGUUAAAACACUCAGUGCUGGAUGCUGUAGAAGAACCAUCUUUUCACUGCCCAACUGAUCACUUUUACCCCAGAUUCCAGGAUAGUGAUAGGAGGCUGAAAAAAUCUUAACAUCCAGUUACAAUAACUUCUCUUCUCUUCUCUUCUCUUCU